AUCUCACCGUCUUCACCUGUGAGGACACUAACGGCUCCCACUUUGAAUAAGUCAUUGUCGUCUGCGUAUUGAGCCACCACACUAGAAGUGGCUUCGUCGGUUGUGAGCCGUUGGUCAAGUUGCAAAACUCCUCUCCUCGCUCGGAUUUUCCCAAAGAAUGCGUGUUAUCAAAGUCAACGGUGUUGACCUGUCCAGUCCGGUUGACGGGUUCCUGAGGCCGCACAUAUGCUGGUUA